GCCCUUAACAUUUUCCCACUUGUCAGAGUUC
rnacentral:piRNA from 1 species